GACGAACGCUGGCGGCGUGCUUAACACAUGCAAGUCGAACGCUGAAGCUCAGCUUUUGUUGGGUGGAUGAGUGGCGAACGGGUGAGUAACACGUGAGUAACCUGCCCCCUUCUUUGGGAUAACGCCCGGAAACGGGUGCUAAUACUGGAUAUUCACUGGUCUUCGCAUGGGGGUUGGUGGAAAGGGUUUUUCUGGUGGGGGAUGGGCUCGCGGCCUAUCAGCUUGUUGGUGGGGUGAUGGCCUACCAAGGCUUUGACGGGUAGCCGGCCUGAGAGGGUGACCGGUCACAUUGGGACUGAGAUACGGCCCAGACUACUACGGGAGGCAGCAGUGGGGAAUAUUGCACAAUGGGCGCAAGCCUGAUGCAGCGACGCCGCGUGAGGGAUGGAGGCCUUCGGGUUGUGAACCUCUUUCGCUCAUGGCCAAGCCGCAACAAUGGUUGUGGUGAGGGUAGUGGGUAAAGAAGCGCCGGCUAACUACGUG
rnacentral:rRNA from 1 species